rnacentral:rRNA from 1 species
UACGUAGGGUGCGAGCGUUAAUCGGAAUUACUGGGCGUAAAGUGUGCGCAGGCGGCCGCGCAAGUCGAGUGUGAAAGCCCCGAGCUUAACUUGGGAAUUGCGCUCGAAACUACGUGGCUGGAGUGUGGCAGAGGAAGGUGGAAUUCCAGGUGUAGCGGUGAAAUGCGUAGAGAUCUGGAGGAACACCGAUUGCGUAGGCAGCUUACUAGGCUGUAACUGACGCUGAGGCACGAAAGCGUGGGGAGCGAACAGG